rnacentral:lncRNA from 12 species
AUGUAUAAGAAUUUUACUUAUUUUUGUAGGAUAUAUAUUUUUUUUUUUUUUUUUUUUUUUUUUUUUUUUUUUUUUUUUUUUUUUUUUUUUUUUUUUUUUUUUUUUUUUUUUUUUUUUUUUUUUUUUUUUUUUUUUUUUUUUUUUUUUUUUUUUUUUUUUUUUUUUUUUUUUUUUUUUUUUUUUUUUUUUUUUUUUUUUUUUUUUUUUUUUUUUUUUUUUUUUUUUUUUUUUUUUUUUUUUUUUUUUUUUUUUUUUUUUUUUUUUUUUUUUUUUUUUUUUUUUUUUUUUUUUUUUUUUUUUUUUUUUUUUUUUUUUUUUUUUUUUUUUUUUUUUUUUUUUUUUUUUUUUUUUUUUUUUUUUUUUUUUUUUUUUUUUUUUUUUUUUUUUUUUUUUUUUUUUUUUUUUUUUUUUUUUUUUUUUUUUUUUUUUUUUUUUUUUUUUUUUUUUUUUUUUUUUUUUUUUUUUUUUUUUUUUUUUUUUUUUUUUUUUUUUUUUUUUUUUUUUUUUUUUUUUUUUUUUUUUUUUUUUUUUUUUUUUUUUUUUUUUUUUUUUUUUUUUUUUUUUUUUUUUUUUUUUUUUUUUUUUUUUUUUUUUUUUUUUUUUUUUUUUUUUUUUUUUUUUUUUUUUUUUUUUUUUUUUUUUUUUUUUUUUUUUUUUUUUUUUUUUUUUUUUUUUUUUUUUUUUUUUUUUUUUUUUUUUUUUUUUUUUUUUUUUUUUUUUUUUUUUUUUUUUUUUUUUUUUUUUUUUUUUUUUUUUUUUUUUUUUUUUUUUUUUUUUUUUUUUUUUUUUUUUUUUUUUUUUUUUUUUUUUUUUUUUUUUUUUUUUUUUUUUUUUUUUUUUUUUUUUUUUUUUUUUUUUUUUUUUUUUUUUUUUUUUUUUUUUUUUUUUUUUUUUUUUUUUUUUUUUUUUUUUUUUUUUUUUUUUUUUUUUUUUUUUUUUUUUUUUUUUUUUUUUUUUUUUUUUUUUUUUUUUUUUUUUUUUUUUUUUUUUUUUUUUUUUUUUUUUUUUUUUUUUUAG